rnacentral:misc_RNA from 1 species
AAGUCGUAACAAGGUUUCCGUAGGUGAACCUGCGGAAGGAUCAUUACCAAAUCCAAAAAAAACUUUAUCAACACCCCAAAUGUGAACUGAGAGUGGUUUCGUUCCCUCGGACUCUCUCGCGAGAGAGAGCGAGAGGGAAUGUCCUUUUUUUUUUUCAACCCCUUUACAACUAUUCAACCAUUAUUUAUGCUGAAAGCAAAACAAAAAAAAACGAAACAUGAGACAACUUUUAACGGUGGAUCUCUUGGCUCGU